rnacentral:rRNA from 1 species
AUUGAACGCUGGCGGCAGGCCUAACACAUGCAAGUCGAACGAGUGGCGGACGGGUGAGUAAUGUCUGGGAAACUGCCCGAUGGAGGGGGAUAACUACAGGAAAAGGUAGCUAAUAUCGCAUACCAUCGGAUGUGCCCAGAUGUGAUGUGCUAGUGGGUGGGGUAACGGCUCACCUAGGCGACGAUCCCUAGCUGGUCUGAGAGGAUGACCAGCCACACGGGAACUGAGACACGGUCCAGACUCCUACGGGAGGCAGCAGUGGGGAAUAUUGCACAAUGGGGGCAAGCCUGAUGCAGCCCUGCCGCGUGUAUGAAGAAGGCCUUCGGGUUGUAAAGUACUUUCAGCGGGGAGGCGUUACUCGCAGAAGAAGCACCGGCUAACUCCGUGCCAGCAGCCGCGGUAAUUC